GACAGCAUAGCAUAGUGGUUUGAGCGUCGGACUAUGACUCUGGAGGCCAGGGUUUGAUUCCCUGCUCUGCCA